GCCCUUAGAGUUUGAUCCUGGCUCAGAACGAACGCUGGCGGCAGGCCUAACACAUGCAAGUCGAGCGCACCCUUCGGGGUGAGCGGCGGACGGGUGAGUAACGCGUGGGAACGUACCCUUCGGUGCGGAAUAUACCAGGGAAACUUGGGGCAAUACCGCAUACGCCCUUUUGGGGAAAGAUUUAUUGCCGAGGGAUCGGCCCGCGUUGGAUUAGGUAGUUGGUGGGGUAACGGCCCACCAAGCCGACGAUCCAUAGCUGGUUUGAGAGGAUGAUCAGCCACACUGGGACUGAGACACGGCCCAGACUCCUAUGGGAGGCAGCAGUGGGGAAUCUUGGACAAUGGGGGAAACCCUGAUCCAGCCAUGCCGCGUGAGCGAUGAAGGCCUUAGGGUUGUAAAGCUCUUUCGCCUGGGAAGAUAAUGACGGUACCAGGUAAAGAAGCCCCGGCCAACUCCGUGCCAGCAGCCGCGGUAAUACGGAGGGGGCUAGCGUUGUUCGGAAUUACUGGGCGUAAAGCGCGCGUAGGCGGACUGGAAAGUUGGGGGUGAAAUCCCGGGGCUCAACCCCGGAACUGCCUCCAAAACUGUCAGUCUUGAGGUCGAGAGAGGUGAGUGGAAUUCCGAGUGUAGAGGUGAAAUUCGUAGAUAUUCGGAGGAACACCAGUGGCGAAGGCGGCUCACUGGCUCGAACCUGACGCUGAGGUGCGAAAGUGUGGGGAGCAAACA
rnacentral:rRNA from 1 species